rnacentral:piRNA from 1 species
UGAGAAAUAGGAUAGGUCUCACUUCACAGA